rnacentral:rRNA from 1 species
UAGUCUCGCACAGAUGCAUAUCAAUAAGCGGAGGAAAAGAAACUAACAAGGAUUCCCCUAGUAACGGCGAGUGAAGCGGGAAGAGCUCAAAUUUGAAAUCUUAAAGGGUUUCCCUUUACGAAUUGUAGUUUAAAGAAGUGUUUUCUGUUGAGGUUUUGGUAAAAGUUCUUUGGAAUAGGACAUCAUAGAGGGUGAGAAUCCCGUAUUUGACCUUUACUUUCAACUUUGUGAUACACUUUCAAAGAGUCGGAUUGUUUGGGAAUGCAGUCCAAAAUGGGUGGUAAAUUUCAUCUAAAGCUAAAUAUUGGCGAGAGACCGAUAGCGAACAAGUACCGUGAGGGAAAGAUGAAAAGAACUUUGAAAAGAGAGUUAAACAGUACGUGAAAUUGUCAAAAGGGAAGCGUUUGACACCAGUGUUGUUUUUCUGAAAAUCAAUUAAAGAACUGUUUAUGCUAAGCUGUUUAGACUUUAUCAGCUAUCUGUUUAGUUUUGAGCUUUUCUUUAAUGCACUUUUCAGUUAACAAGUCAACAUCAAUUUCUUUUGCUGUAAAAAAGCUUGAGGAAGGUGGCUUGAGAUUCGUCUUAAGUGUUUAUAGCCUCUUGCCUAUGCAGUCGGAGAGAUUGAGGUCUGCAGCGUAGAUCCUUCGGGGCUAAAUGCAUUUGUGCUAAGUUAUAGCAUUUUAUAGACAACUUGUUGACUAUGAUUUGUCUUGUAGCUUACUCGCUUAUGUUAUUUUACCUACGCUUAGGAUGUUGAUCUGUAGUGCGUGCGC